UAAAGCCUACAGUUUACAUUUCGAGUUGGGUCCGCCUGUUUACCCUAGAAACAAGGUUUUUAAGUAACGACUACGUUAUCACUUAACAUUAAGCAUGUCUGUUGUCUCUGAAGUAAUGACUACGUUAUCACAUAACAUUAAGCAUGUCUGUUGUCUCUGAAGUAAUAACUACGUUAUCACUUAACAUCAAGCAUGUCUGUUGUCUCUGAAGUAAUGACUACGUUAUCACAUAACAUUAAGCAUGUCUGUUGUCUCUGAAGUAAUGACUACGUUAUCACAUAACAUCAAGCAUGUCUGUUGCCUCUGAAGUUACACCAGCACAUUUCUUUUAGAGUAAGACCUUAAUAAUUGGAAAUUAUGAUUACUGAAGACGAAGAAAGACGAAGUGUAUAAGUGGAUAUAAAGAAGGUGUGGAAAAAUAAAUUUGCUUGCAUGAAUCUCAUUAAAUACAUACCAGUAAAUGGUAACAAAGAUAAUUAUUCCUUAUCAAAGUUACAGAGACAAGUAGGAAUUUUAGGACACCCUGGUUGUCUUCAAGAGGAGCUGGACGGAUACCUAAAGACGGUGCAGGAUCAGCCGGGCUGUGGUUCGUACGUUGGAUUGUGUGCGGCCAGCAGUAACAGCCUCGUUGAUCAGGCCCUGAUCCACUGGGAGGCCUGGUCGUGGACCGGGCCGCGGGGACAUUGAUUCCCGGAAUGCCCUCCAGGUAGCUUCCAGGUAGCCCUUCGAUACCUACUACAAUCUAUCUCUCCACAAAUCACUCUGGACCUAUAUUAAUUUCAAAUGAAAUGUACAUCACCAGGAAUUCUGGUAAAACAUUAAUAUAAAUAUAUGGACUGUAUAUUAAAUUUAAAAAAUGAAUACAUAUACAUUGAAGGAGAAUCUAUAAUAAAAUAAUUCACCAAUUUGUCUGGAGAUUACUUGGUGUAUCAUACACAAACCCCUGCCUAAAUUAUGAAGAAAAUACUGGCUAGAAUUUCAACGUAAAUAGACAUCGACUUAGCUGGGGUUACCGGACUGUCCUGUCCACUCGCCUAAUGCUCACUUUAUGCAGGACUGCAAAUCCAUCAAUUUCUGCUCUUAUUUGGGAGGUUUCAAUCACAAUUUAACCUCCAGAGCGACGAAAUUUAUGCACAUUUCACUCGCGUGCCUUCAGCCCAGUUCAAAACAAUGGCGACUCCCCUCCAGCGACGCUCACCCAUUUUGCUGGUUUUUUAUUUAUUUGCAAAUUAAUUUUUAUUACCUACAAUAUAUUCCAUCAAUUUACAUACCAAAAUACACUAUUUUUGGAAAAUAUACAAUAUUUUCUACAGAAGGUUUUGAAGAUAUCAUUCCAAGAAAGAACCCGCCAUAAUGGACUCAAAUUAGACAAGUUUAGAUUCUGAAAGGAUAUAGGAAAGUAUUGGUUUGGGAAUAGGGUAGUUGAGGAGUGGAUCAGUGAUUGAAGCUAAAACCUUGGGUAGUUUCAAGUUUAGGUUGGACAAAUACAUGAGUGAGAGGGGUUGGAUUUGAGUGGGACUUGCAUAUGAGUGAAUAGAAUUAUCAAAACGUAUUGCCUGGGUAGCACUGAAAAUUGGUAUUACAACCCAGGAGUCCAAAUGGCCUGUUAUCCUGGAUGUAAAGGGAGCAAAAUAAGCACAGCAGAAUAACUUUUGACUUAUAUUAUCCUUCACCAAUUUAGAACAAAAGUAUGUACACUAUAUACACUAUGUACAGUGAUAGGUAUUAGUGCACUCCACGGUAAGCAAGGCAGAAUAGAAGCCACUAGAGAGCAGACCGUGCUUCAACCAGCUCUAGAAUGGGAAUGACAAGGGCAGACAGGAGAGUGGUACCCACAUAACCUCUGCGAUUGCCAAAAACCAUCUUCUCAUUGGCUGGAACCUGGGUGCUGGUCGAACGACGGGGCCCCAUCGUUAACCCUUAGUUCCCUGGUUCGCUGGUUGGGGGAGAUUGCCUGUAAAUGAGGGUGUGUUCAUGCGCCGAAUAUAGGUUACGUACUCUUUGCAUGCCACAAUUGGGUUGGGCAAAUCUUCCGUUAGUGAGAUGGAUUGUGAAGGACCUGCCUAGUAUGGGCCAGUAGGCCUGCAGCAGUGCUCCUCCUUUCUUAUGUUCUUAUAUUUACCAAGUAACACAUCUUCAUAAGUUUAGUUAUAACCUCUAUUAAGCAGUGAAUAAAGUAAUUGAAUUAUGUUAAAUAAUCACUCUUAUUUCAUACAUUAUUUCAAAUAUUAAUACGUAUUUUAUUAUUUACAAAAUAUUUCUGAUCAUUAAUCAAUAAAUAAAUAUUAAGAAUAAAAUACAAAAAAAUAACUACACACCAGAAAGUUAAGACAAGUGCCAGGUGCCAGAAUGAUGAAGACAAGUGCCAGGUACCAGAAAGAUGAAGACAAGUGCCAGGUACCAGAAAGAUGAAGACAAGUGCCAGAAUGAUGAAGACAAGGGCCAGGUGCCAGAAUGAUGAAGACAAGUGCCAGGUACCAGAAAGAUGAAGACAAGUGCCAGGUACCAGAAAGAUGAAGACAAGUGCCAGAAUGAUGAAGACAAGGGCCAGGUGCCAGAAUGAUGAAGACAAGUGCCAGAAUGAUGAAGACAAGGGCCAGGUGCCAGAAUGAUGAAGACAAGUGCCAGGUGCCAGAAUGAUGAAGACAAGUGCCAGGUGCCAGAAUGAAGACAAGUGCCAGGUGCCAGAAUGAUGAAGACAAGUGCCAGAAUGAUGAAGACAAGUGCCAGGUGCCAGAAUGAUGAAGACAAGUGCCAGGUGCCAGAAUGAUGAAGACAAGUGCCAGGUGCCAGAAUGAUGAAGACAAGUGCCAGGUGCCAGAAUGAUAGACAAGAUAUUAAAACAGUAGUCAGGCUUCAUAUCGUAUCAUUAUACAAGAUUUUAAUAUCCAAGGUGGGAAACACAGAGCGUGUUUCCUUACACCUGUUGUCCCGUUCACCUAGCAAGCAAGUAGGAAUCCGGGUGUUAGUCAAGUAGAUACCUGCGUGUUAGUCAAGUAGGUACCUGAGUGUUAGUCAAGUAGGUACCUGGGUGUUAGUCAAGUAGGUACCUGGGUGUUAGUCAAGUAGGUACCUGUGUGUUAGUCAAGUAGGUACCUGUGUGUUAGUCAAGUAGGUACAUGGGUGUUAGCCAAGUAGGCACCUGGGUGUUAGUCAAGUAGGUACCUGGGUGUUAGUCAAGUAGGUACCUGGGUGUUAGCCAAGUAGGUACCUGGGUGUUAGCCAAGUAGGUACCUGGGUGCUAGUCAAGUAGAUACCUGGGUGUUAGUCAAGUAGGUACCUGGGUGUUAGUCAAGUAGGUACCUGGGUGUUAGCCAAGUAGGUACCUGGGUGUUAGCCAAGUAGGUACCUCGGAUGUUAGCCAAGUAGGUACCUGGGUGUUAGUCAAGUAUGUACCUGGGUGUUAGUCAAGUAGGCACCUGGGAGUUAGUCAAGUAGGUACCUGGGUGUUAGUCAGGUAGGUACCUGGGUGUUAGUCAAGUAGGUACCUGGGUGUUAGCCAAGUAGGUACCUGGGUGUUAGCCAAGUAGGUACCUGGGUGCUAGCCAAGUAGGUACCGGGUUUUAGCCAAGUAGGUACCUCGGAUGUUAGCCAAGUAUGUACCUGGGUGUUAGUCAAGUAGGUACCUGGGAGUUAGUCAGGUAGGUACCUGAGUGUUAGUCAGGUAGGUACAUGGGUGUUAGUCAAGUAGGUACCUGGGUGUUAGCCAAGUAGGUACCUGGGUGUUAGUCAAGUAGGUACCUGUGUGUUAGUCAGGUACAUGGGUUUUAGCCAAGUAGGCACCUGGGUGUUAGUCAAGUAAGUAUCUAGAUGUUAGUCAAGUAGGUACCUGGGUGUUAGUCAAGUAGGUGCGUGGGUGUUAGUCAAGUAGGUACCUGGGUGUUAGUCAAGUAGGUACCUGUGUGUUAGUCAAGUAGGUGCCUGGGUGUUAGUCAAGUAGGUACUUGUAUGUUAGUCAAGUAGGUACCUGGGUGUUAGUCAAGUAGGUACCUGAGUGUUAGUCAAGUAGGUACCUGGGUGUUAGUCAAGUAGGUACCUGU